UACAGAGGUGGCAAGCGUUGUCCGGAAUUAUUGGGCGUAAAGGGCUCGUAGGCGGCCAACUAAGUCAGACGUGAAAAUCCCUCGGCUUAACCGGGGAACUGCGUCUGAUACUGGAUGGCUUGAGUUUGGGAGAGGGAUGCGGAAUUCCAGGUGUAGCGGUGAAAUGCGUAGAUAUCUGGAGGAACACCGGUGGCGAAGGCGGCAUCCUGGACCAACACUGACGCUGAGUGAGCGAAAGCCAGGGGAGCAAACGGG
rnacentral:rRNA from 1 species